rnacentral:rRNA from 1 species
CAGUAGCCGCGGUAAGACAGAGGAUGCAAGCGUUAUCCGGAAUGAUUGGGCGUAAAGCGUCUGUAGGUGGCUUUUCAAGUCCGCCGUCAAAUCCCAGGGCUCAACCCUGGACAGGCGGUGGAAACUACCAAGCUGGAGUACGGUAGGGGCAGAGGGAAUUUCCGGUGGAGCGGUGAAAUGCGUAGAGAUGUGGAGGAACACCAGUGGCGAAGGCGACUCUCUGGUCUGUAACUGACGCUGAGGAGCGAAAGCGUGGGGAGCGAACAGGAUUAGAUACCCCUGUAGUCCCUGUCUCUUAUAC